rnacentral:rRNA from 1 species
AUGUUGGAUCGCGGCAUCUGUCCCGACACAGUGUUCUUCAACACAAUUAUGGACCGCCUUUGCAAAAAUGAAAGGGUUAUGGAAGCCCAAGAUCUCUUCGACCUGAUGGUACACAUGGGUGUGAAGCCUGAUGUAUGUACUUAUAACACACUGAUAGGUGGAUACUUGUUUGUUGGUAAGAUGGAUGAAGUGAGCAAGUUACUUGACAAUAUGGUCUCAAUUGGCAUGGAACCAGAUGUUAUCACCUAUAACAUACUGAUUGAUGGUUACUCUAAGAAUGGAAAGAUAGAUGAUGCAUUGGUUGUUUUUAGGGGGAUAUUGGAAAGGAAGGAUAAGCCUUCUGUUAUCACUUUUAAUAUUAUGAUUGGUGCGUUGCUUAAAUGUCGCAGGAAGGAAGAAGCAAAAGAUUUGUUUGACGGUAUCUGGGCCAAAGGAUUAGUUCCUGAUGUUGUUACAUAUAGCUUAAUGAUACAAAAACUUAUAGAAGAAGGUUCUCUACAGGAGUCUGAUGAUCUAUUCCUUUCUAUGGAGAAGAAUGGUUAUCCUGCCAAUUCCUGCAUGCUAAAUGCUAUAGUUAGAAGGUUACUUCAGAAAGGGGAGAUGCCCAGGGCUGGGACUUAUUUGUCUAAAAUUGAUGAGAGGAAUUUCACCCUUGAAGCUUCCACAACUAGCUUGUUGACUGCACUUGCUUCAGUGGGGAAAUGUCAGGAAUAUAAGGGGUUACUGCCUGAAAAAUAUCAUUGUUUUCUGGAACAGGGCACUGAU